AGUACUCCAAAUACACAGUUUAUGAAGACUGUGAUCAUGUAAACAGAAAAAUUUGUCAUUUCCAUCUCAUUGAAAAAAGACUCCAACUUAGUCAGAAAGCCUUUCUAAUCUUCCUGCUAAACCUGAACAGCUCUGGGACAUGUAAUGACUACAGAAGUAAUUUCAGAAACUUCUGGAGGGAAACACCACGCCAAUGAAUGUGUCUGUGGUUCAGAGUUAUUAGCUUGAUGCCCAAAUGCAUAUCAUAUUUGCAAGAGGCAAUUUACAAUCUGCUCGUCUUGACAAAUGUAGCACAAGGGGAUUUAAAUCCCUGCAUUUGCAAUUUCUGUCUCUCCUUCUCCAAAUUUAUGGCGAAAUUGUAGACACAAAUAACGUGUCAGGGUUGAAUGAACUGAGGUUUCUGCUCUGCUUCCACAGUUCCAUUUCACUCAAAGGAGAGUAAUAAAUGGAAAGCAAAGUCUCAGCAGAUAAUGAAUCUGAGUCCUGAUGACCUUCCUGAACUACAAAUUGGAUUUGUAAUUUCCUUGGCAUUGCCCAAACCAUUUGGUGCCUAUAGUGAGAACUAAACCAAACAAAUCAUGAAGUAAAGUAAAAGAAGAAAACAUCAGAUUUUCAUGACUCUAACCUCCUCAACUUCAUUCAACCAUCCAUCCAUGUAUAUAUCCAUCUGGUAGGUCCACAAACACUUACUUUAUUGCAACUGUUGUCCACUCUACCAAGUAAAAUAGAAUUCCCUUUGGAAUUUACUAUGCACUUUUCUCAUCCAAAAUUAUGUAAAUCAGUUUGAGCCAAGAAAUCCAGUAGGAAUAGCCAUGGUUUCUGCAACCAUCCACCUGUACGCUGAGGAUGCCCAAAUUUCUACCUGGAACCCUGACAUCACAGACUCAAUCUCCUGCCACGCACCUGUACAUUAGUAUUUGGAUGUCCCACUAAACUGAAUCUGAACAUG